GCGAGAAUAGCUCAGUCGGCAGAGCAUCAGCUUCCCAAGCUGAGGGUCGCGGGUUCGAAUCCCGUUUCUCGCU
rnacentral:tRNA from 1 species